CAAGUAUUCAAAGUUCUACCUUCAUGGGAAGCUAUGUAGUGUCUGUCAGUAUCUAAUUAAAAUAAUAUACCAUUUGAUAGAAUGUAUUUUUGUAUUAUACAGAAGAUAUUAAUUUAAUAAUAUAUGUAUAUAAAUGUUAUGGGACAAUCUUACCCAAAUUGACAAAGCCCCACAAUAAGCUCAAGAAGGCUUAUGUUGUGAUAUAUAAUAAAUACACACAUGGAAAACACACACCAAAUGACUCAGGAACAGAUAUCUGUGCUCAUCACAUAAAUAAAUAAUGCCGAGAUUCAAACUGAGUUGUUCGCAAAGUAGUGUACUUCUACGUUAUUUUUCCAUUUAAACUUUUAUGGCAGGCAGAUUAUCAACAUGAAGUGGGCCGGGACCAAAUGGAUGCCUGUUUCUCAGCAAGCGGUGUCCAACUGCUAAAUUACCCCGGUCUUAUCAGUAUGGGCUAUCAUUAAAGCCGGGGGUUUUCGAUGCACACAUGUGACCCUUCAUGGGCCAUAGGAAUAUGAAGACCGCUUCUUGUAUAUCUUUUCCAUCACGGAACAAUGGUGUUCCGGACCUUUGGGAGGCGUGCGCGGAGCCGUAGGCAACACAUACGGGAUCAUAUCAAUUACGUGGACAAGUCGUAUGGUGGGACAACCUACGACACCUUUAUAUGGAGCAACAGCGUUAGUCGAGAUUACUUCGAGCAGCUGGCAUGUGUGGCACCAGCGAAAUAGUGUACAUUAGAUAUGGGAACAAGUCAACUACAUCAUUAACAUGGACGCGUCGUACGGCAGGGCAACCCACGACGCCUUCAUAUGUAGCAUUAGCAUUAGUCAAGACCACUUCGAGCAGCGGGCAUGUGGUACCAGCGAAAUAGCGCACAUUAGGUAGAAGACUCCGGGUAUCCACUGCGGGAACACGGGACACCUUAUGAUUUCUGCAACCGGCGCCGCAGAAGAAUCCCCGAGGCUAUAACGCCAUACAAAAUAAGGCGCGCUCCACUAUAGAGCUAACAUUUGGGAUAUUAAAAGUUACACCACCACCAUGGCCACUACUGUCUGAUCUGUGAUCCGUGCUGUGCCUAUACGCGAAGACCGUACUCCCGACGACGGCGAUGAAAAUAACACUGCCGGCUUUUCAAGGAGCUACAUUACCAGCUGAUAAUGCAACUAUUACCCAAUGCCCCGUACCUACGUAGUAUAGAAGAAGACUAAGACUUAUCUACUAUAUAAGCAGAGGCUAGCAAACUAGUCUUAUUUCCUAUGAGGCCAUGCUGUGGUAAUUAUUAAAUUCACCUUAGAAAGCUAAUGUAAGGCAUAAGGAUAAUAAGGCACAUAUAUUUGAAUCGCCUCCUUUACAGGAAUAAAUUGUGUAAUUUAUUGUACCUGCUAGUUAAACUAAUACACGAUUAGCAGCACUAAGAGUUGUAUUGGCCAAGUUGACUACGGAGUAAUAUA